UACGUAGGGGGCUAGCGUUGUCCGGAUUUAUUGGGCGUAAAGAGCGUGUAGGCGGCCAGGUAGGUCUGGUGUGAAAACUCGAGGCUUAACCUCGAGAUGUCAUCGGAAACCAUCUGGCUAGAGUCCGGAAGAGGAGAGUGGAAUUCCCAGUGUAGAGGUGAAAUUCGUAGAUAUUGGGAAGAACACCGAUGGCGAAGGCAGCCAUCUGGACCGACACUGACGCUGAGGCGCGAAAGCGUGGGGAGCAAACAGG
rnacentral:rRNA from 1 species